rnacentral:rRNA from 1 species
UACGAAGGGGGGUAGCGUUGUUCGGAAUCACUGGGCGUAAAGGGUGCGCAGGCGGGCAUUUAAGUCAGGGGUGAAAUCCCGAGGCUCAACCUCGGAACGGCCUUUGAUACUGGAUGUCUUGAGUCCGGAAGAGGUGAGUGGAACUGCGAGUGUAGAGGUGAAAUUCGUAGAUAUUCGCAAGAACACCGGUGGCGAAGGCGGCUCACUGGUCCGGCACUGACGCUCAUGCACGACAGCGUGGGGAGCAAACAGG